rnacentral:rRNA from 1 species
UACGGAGGAUCCAAGCGUUAUCCGGAUUUAUUGGGUUUAAAGGGUGCGUAGGCGGCUUAUUAAGUCAGGGGUGAAAGACGGUGGCUCAACCAUCGCAGUGCCCUUGAUACUGAUGAGCUUGAAUGAACUAGAGGUAGGCGGAAUGUGACAAGUAGCGGUGAAAUGCAUAGAUAUGUCACAGAACACCAAUUGCGAAGGCAGCUUACUAAAGUGUGAUUGACGCUGAGGCACGAAAGCGUGGGGAUCAAACAGG